CUGCGCAGCGACUCAUUAUUAAGUGAAACCCACCUAGAAACUGUUGCCUGGAAUAUCUGCGUUGGGAAUACAGGGUCAUGUGAUGCUGGUUCUGGUCACCUCAGCUUUGAUUUGAACUGCCAGGUGAUGCUAGGAGUGGACCACUUUAAGACGGCUCAAGAAGUCUAGCUUGCUCACCAGCCUCCUGUGCUGCUGAAGAGCCUGGUCGUACACCAUCAUAGGGUCUGACCUUUCCACCGCCGGCCCUUGAGAACCUGGCCCCUGGGUUUGCCUGUGGUCUCCAGGUCCAGAUUGAGAGA